rnacentral:rRNA from 1 species
AGUGAACGCUGGCGGUAGGCCUAACACAUGCAAGUCGAACGGCAGCACAGUAAGAGCUUGCUCUUACGGGUGGCGAGUGGCGGACGGGUGAGGAAUACAUCGGAAUCUACUUUUUCGUGGGGGAUAACGUAGGGAAACUUACGCUAAUACCGCAUACGACCUACGGGUGAAAGCAGGGGAUCUUCGGACCUUGCGCGAUUGAAUGAGCCGAUGUCGGAUUAGCUAGUUGGCGGGGUAAAGGCCCACCAAGGCGACGAUCCGUAGCUGGUCUGAGAGGAUGAUCAGCCACACUGGAAGUGAGACACGGUCCAGACUCCGACGGGAGGCAGCAGUGGGGAAUAUUGGACAAUGGGCGCAAGCCGGAUCCAGCCAUACCGCGUGGGUGAAGAAGGCCUUCGGGUUGUAAAGCGCAUUUGUUGUGAAAGAAAAGCAGCAGGUUAAUACCCCGCUGUUCUGACGGUACCCAAAGAAUAAGCACCGGCUAACUUCAUG